rnacentral:rRNA from 1 species
UACGGGGGGAGCAAGCGUUGUUCGGAUUUACUGGGCGUAAAGGGCGCGUAGGCGGCGCGACGAGUCACUUGUGAAAUCUCCGGGCUUAACCCGGAGCGGCCAAGUGAUACUGUCGUGCUCGAGUGCGGAAGGGGCCACUGGAAUUCUCGGUGUAGCGGUGAAAUGCGUAGAUAUCGAGAGGAACACCUGCGGCGAAGGCGGGUGGCUGGGCCGACACUGACGCUGAGGCGCGAAAGCCAGGGGAGCGAACGGG